rnacentral:sRNA from 1 species
UCACGUGGUUGAUGAGCCGUAGUGAGG